UGGGGAAUCUUGCACAAUGGGCGAAAGCCUGAUGCAGCGACGCCGCGUGCGGGAUGAAGGCCUUCGGGUUGUAAACCGCUUUCAGCAGGGACGAGGCCGCAAGGUGACGGUACCUGCAGAAGAAGCCCCGGCUAACUACGUGCCAGCAGCCGCGGUAAUACGUAGGGGGCAAGCGUUAUCCGGAUUCAUUGGGCGUAAAGCGCGCGUAGGCGGUUUGUUAGGUCAGGAGUUAAAUCUGGGGGCUCAACCCCUAUCCGCUCCUGAUACCGGCAGGCUUGAGUCUGGUAGGGGAAGGCGGAAUUCCAAGUGUAGCGGUGAAAUGCGCAGAUAUUUGGAAGAACACCGGUGGCGAAGGCGGCCUUCUGGGCCACGACUGACGCUGAGGCGCGAAAGCUAGGUGAGCGAACAGG
rnacentral:rRNA from 1 species